GUUCCGAGGGGUGCCUUUGCGAUGUAAGGCUGAGAAGAUGGCUAUUAGCCCAUCUAACCCUUUGAACCUGAUCCGGUUCGUACCGGCGAAGGGACAGGAA
rnacentral:ncRNA from 1 species